rnacentral:rRNA from 1 species
AGCUGCAGUCGAGAUCUUUCGCAUGGGCGAAAGCCUGACGAAGCGACGCCGUGUGAGGGAUGAAGGCCUUCGGGUUGUAAAGCUCUUUCGCUUGGGAACAAGAGAGACUGGUGAAUAUCCUAGUUAAUUUGAGGGUACCUGGAAAAGAAGCACCGGCUAACUCC